UGACUGAGAGAACUGUGGGGAGGACGUGCGUGGGCAGCAGUGGUCUAUAUAUAUAAGAGAAUCUGCAGCCUAGAGUCAGUUAUCCAGCCUCCUGCAACAACAAUGAAGUGGUUCUCUCUCGUCGUCCUCGUGGUGGUGGCCGUGUUGGCCGCCUUCACUAGCGCUGAACCACUGCGUCCUGGCCAAGACGGUCAUGGAGUCCGUAUUCGACCAGGCCAAGACGGACACGGAAUUCGUAUUCGACCAGGCCAAGAUGGCCAUGGCACCCAUAUUGGCGGCCCAAGUGGUGGCUUUAAUGGUGGAGGAAUCCGUCAUCAAGACUAACGGCUGAGGACCUGACCUGCCUGCUGGGGGAUUGAUGGCGAGGGGCCUCUUGUGUGAGUCUCCACAACUCUGACCAGCGUCUUGACCAGAGUAUCAGUAUUCUCGACAACCAUCAACACUGUCUAUAAGAUUAUGUUCGUCGACGAAUAAACAAAAACUUAUAA